CUAUUAUAAAAUUUCAACAUAGAUACAUUCACAUACAAGGUGCAGAAGUGGGCCAUGGUGGUUGUAACGUAAUAUAAUGCAUGAAACCAACAUGACAUAGUUUCUGAUGCUACAAUCUUAUGGACUGUGAAAUACUCUCUACUUCCAUUGGCCCACAUCAACAGCACUUCAUUGUUAGUAGAUUUCAGAUCAGGCCAUUAACCUGGUUGAAGUAUGCAAAGUUCCAGCUAAAUUAGCCAUCCUUUAGAAUGGCUCGGCCAGAGAUCACAUCAAUUGAGACUUUAAAUUGUUGAGCAAUGGGUGAUCUCUUGUGGGUUAUCCAUCUAUAAGUAUUGAAGUUUUUGCAAGAAACAUGAGAGUAGGU
rnacentral:lncRNA from 1 species